ACUGGAGUUAAUACAACCUUAAAUCCAGAGCAUCGGUUCUCGUCCAAUCACCGAAGUUAAGCAACGUCGAGCCUAGUGAGUACUUAGAUGGGUGACCGCUUGGGAAACCUAGGUGCUGUAAGUG
rnacentral:rRNA from 1 species